rnacentral:misc_RNA from 1 species
AAAUAUAGAAGCUCAGAAGAUAAAAGAGAAUAACACAUAGGUACAACGUAGACUACAAAAACCACAGCUUCAUUAGGUGAGACGUACCUAAUGAUAAAGGUUCUCCAGAACAUAAAGAAUUCUUAACCCCAGAUGAUGAUUCAACAUUCCAGCUCAAAGAAUGAAACAAUCAACAUCCAUUAGCUGAAAUUACACUUCGAAAAAGAUCUAUUUUGCUCAAUCACGAGGGGGCAAAAGUUGAAAAAGAAUAAAAAGAAGAAACCUCGACUGUGCAGCAAAUUACGCUGUCAACAUGUAUAAAACAUAAUCUACCAUGAAACCAGGACUUAAAACAAUUGAAAAAGAGACCACACUGAAAUGGUUAACAAUCCCACGACAUAUUAAAAUGAAACCAAAACUUGCAGAUGUUUGAAAUUGUUAGAAAUGCAAGAAACAUUUUAAGUUA